GACGAACGCUGGCGGCGUGCCUAAUACAUGCAAGUCGAGCGAAUCAAUAGGAGCUUGCUCCUGUUGGUUAGCGGCGGACGGGUGAGUAACACGUGGGCAACCUGCCUGUAAGACUGGGAUAACACCGGGAAACCGGUGCUAAUACCGGAUAAUCCUUUUUCUCUCAUGAGGGAAAGCUGAAAGUCGGUUUCGGCUGACACUUACAGAUGGGCCCGCGGCGCAUUAGCUAGUUGGUGAGGUAAUGGCUCACCAAGGCGACGAUGCGUAGCCGACCUGAGAGGGUGAUCGGCCACACUGGGACUGAGACACGGCCCAGACUCCUACGGGAGGCAGCAGUAGGGAAUCUUCCACAAUGGACGAAAGUCUGAUGGAGCAACGCCGCGUGAGCGAUGAAGGCCUUCGGGUCGUAAAGCUCUGUUGUUAGGGAAGAACAAGUACCGGAGUAACUGCCGGUACCUUGACGGUACCUAACCAGAAAGCCACGGCUAACUACGUGCCAGCCGCCGCGGUAAAAC
rnacentral:rRNA from 1 species